rnacentral:rRNA from 1 species
GAAUGCUGACAUAAGUAACGAUAAAGCGGGUGAAAAGCCCGCUCGCCGGAAGACCAAGGGUUCCUGUCCAACGUUAAUCGGGGCAGGGUGAGUCGACCCCUAAGGCGAGGCCGAAAGGCGUAGUCGAUGGGAAACGGGUUAAUAUUCCCGUACUUGGUGUUACUGCGAAGGGGGGACGGAGAAGGCUAUGUUGGCCGGGCGACGGUUGUCCCGGUUUAAGCGUGUAGGUGUGUGUUCCAGGUAAAUCCGGUUCACUUUAACACUGAGGCGUGACGACGAGGCACUACGGUGCUGAAGCAACAAAUGCCCUGCUUCCAGGAAAAGCCUCUAAGCAUCAGGUAACAUCAAAUCGUACCCCAAACCGACACAGGUGGUCAGGUAGAGAAUACCAAGGCGCUUGAGAGAACUCGGGUGAAGGAACUAGGCAAAAUGGUGCCGUAACUUCGGGAGAAGGCACGCUGACACGUAGGUGAAGUGAUUUACUCAUGGAGCUGAAGUCAGUCGAAGAUACCAGCUGGCUGCAACUGUUUAUUAAAAACACAGCACUGUGCAAACACGAAAGUGGACGUAUACGGUGUGACGCCUGCCCGGUGCCGGAAGGUUAAUUGAUGGGGUCAGCGCA